rnacentral:rRNA from 2 species
GUUGACCUCGGAUCAGGUAGGAAUACCCGCUGAACUUAAGCAUAUCAAUAAGCGGAGGAAAAGAAACCAACAGGGAUUCCCCUAGUAACGGCGAGUGAAGCGGGAACAGCUCAAAUUUGAAAUCUGGCCCUUGGGUCCGAGUUGUAAUUUGCAGAGGAUGCUUUUGGUGCGGUGCCUUCCGAGUUCCCUGGAACGGGACGCCUUAGAGGGUGAGAGCCCCGUACGGUUGGCCACCAAGCCUGUGUAAAGCUCCUUCGACGAGUCGAGUAGUUUGGGAAUGCUGCUCAAAAUGGGAGGUAUAUUUCUUCUAAAGCUAAAUACUGGCCAGAGACCGAUAGCGCACAAGUAGAGUGAUCGAAAGAUGAAAAGCACUUUGAAAAGAGGGUUAAAUAGCACGUGAAAUUGUUGAAAGGGAAGGAUUUAUGACCAGACUUUUUCUGGGGGGAUCAUCCGGUGUUCUCACCGGUGCACUUCCCCCAGUUGAGGCCAGCAUCGGUUUCUGCCGGGGGAUAAAAGCUUUGGGAAUGUGGCUCCUUCGGGAGUGUUAUAGCCCGUUGCAUAAUACCCUGGCGGGGACCGAGGUUCGCGCAUUGCAAGGAUGCUGGCGUAAUGGUUAUUAAUCACCCGUCUUGAAACACGGACCAAGGAGUCGAACAUUUGUGCGAGUGUUUGGGUGUUAAACCCUCACGCGUAAUGAAAGUGAACGGAGGUGAGAGCCUUUAGGGGUGCAUCAUCGACCGAUCCUGAUGUCUUCGGAUGGAUUUGAGUAAGAGCAUAACUGUUCGGACCCGAAAGAUGGUGAACUAUGCGUGGAUAGGGUGAAGCCAGAGGAAACUCUGGUGGAGGCUCGCAGCGGUUCUGACGUGCAAAUCGAUCGUCAAAUCUGCGCAUGGGGGCGAAAGACUAAUCGAACCAUCUAGUAGCUGG